GACGAACGCNGGCGGCGUGCCUAAUACAUGCAAGUAGAACGCUGAAGGGAGAGCUUGCUCUUCUGGAUGAGUUGCGAACGGGUGAGUAACGCGUAGGUAACCUGCCUGGUAGCGGGGGAUAACUAUUGGAAACGAUAGCUAAUACCGCAUAACAUUGACUAUUGCAUGAUAGUCAAUUGAAAGGUGCAAAUGCACCACUACCAGAUGGACCUGCGUUGUAUUAGCUAGUUGGUGGGGUAACGGCUCACCAAGGCGACGAUACAUAGCCGACCUGAGAGGGUGAUCGGCCACACUGGGACUGAGACACGGCCCAGACUCCUACGGGAGGCAGCAGUAGGGAAUCUUCGGCAAUGGACGGAGGUCUGACCGAGCAACGCCGCGUGAGUGAAGAAGGUUUUCGGAUCGUAAAGCUCUGUUGUAAGAGAAGAACGAGUGUGAGAGUGGAAAGUUCACACNGNGACGG
rnacentral:rRNA from 1 species